rnacentral:rRNA from 1 species
GGUUAAGCGACUAAGCGUACACGGUGGAUGCCUAGGCAAUCAGAGGCGAUGAAGGACGUGCUAAUCUGCGAUAAGCGUCGGUAAGGUGAUAUGAACCGUUACAACCGACGAUUUCCGAAUGGGGAAACCUAGUGCAAUUCGUUGCACUAUCGUUUGAUGAAUACAUAGUCAAACGAAGCGAACCGGGGGAACUGAAACAUCUCAGUACCCCGAGGAAAAGAAAUCAACCGAGAUUCCCCUAGUAGCGGCGAGCGAACGGGGAGCAGCCCAGAGUCUUAAUCAGCAUUAGCAUCAGGAGAACGGUCUGGAAAGUCCGGCAGUAAAGGGUGAUAGCCCCGUAUCCGAAGAUGUUAGUGUUGUGAACUCGACGAGUAGGGCGGGACACGUGUUAUCCUGUCUGAAUAUGGGGGGACCAUCCUCCAAGGCUAAAUACUCCUGAUUGACCGAUAGUGAACCAGUACCGUGAGGGAAAGGCGAAAAGAACCCCGGCGAGGGGAGUGAAAUAGAACCUGAAACCGUGUACGUACAAGCAGUGGGAGCCUUGAUUUAUCAGGGUGACUGCGUACCUUUUGUAUAAUGGGUCAGCGACUUAUAUUCUGUAGCAAGGUUAACCGAAUAGGGGAGCCGUAGGGAAACCGAGUCUUAACUGGGCGAAUAAGUUGCAGGGUAUAGACCCGAAACCCGGUGAUCUAGCCAUGGGCAGGUUGAAGGUUGGGUAACACUAACUGGAGGACCGAACCGACUAAUGUUGAAAAAUUAGCGGAUGACUUGUGGCUGGGGGUGAAAGGCCAAUCAAACCGGGAGAUAGCUGGUUCUCCCCGAAAGCUAUUUAGGUAGCGCCUCGUGAACUCAUCUUCGGGGGUAGAGCACUGUUUCGACUAGGGGGUCAUCCCGACUUACCAACUCGAUGCAAACUACGAAUACCGAAGAAUGUUAUCACGGGAGACACACGGCGGGUGCUAACGUUCGUCGUGAAGAGGGAAACAACCCAGACCGCCAGCUAAGGUCCCAAAGUCAUAGUUAAGUGGGAAACGAAGUGGGAAGGCUCAGACAGCCAGGAUGUUGGCUUAGAAGCAGCCAUCAUUUAAAGAAAGCGUAAUAGCUCACUGGUCGAGUCGGCCUGCGCGGAAGAUGUAACGGGGCUAAACUAUGCACCGAAGCUGCGGCAGCGAUAUGUAAAUAUUGUUGGGUAGGGGAGCGUUCUGUAAGCCUGUGAAGGUGUGCUGUGAGGCAUGCUGGAGGUAUCAGAAGUGCGAAUGCUGACAUAAGUAACGAUAAUGCGGGUGAAAAACCCGCACGCCGGAAGACCAAGGGUUCCUGUCCAACGUUAAUCGGGGCAGGGUGAGUCGACCCCUAAGGCGAGGCAGAAAUGCGUAGUCGAUGGGAAACGGGUUAAUAUUCCCGUACUGGUGAUAAUUGCGAUGGGGGGACGGAGAAGGCUAGGCUAUCCGGGCGACGGUUGUCCCGGUUUAAGGAUGUAGGCAGGUGAAUUAGGCAAAUCCGGUUCACUACAUGCUGAGGUCCGACGACGAGUCACUACGGUGAUGAAGUAGCUCAUGCCCCGCUUCCAGGAAAAGCCUCUAAGCUCUAGAUUAUCAUUAAUCGUACCCCAAACCGACACAGGUGGUCAGGUAGAGAAUACUCAGGCGCUUGAGAGAACUCGGGUGAAGGAACUAGGCAAAAUGGUGCCGUAACUUCGGGAGAAGGCACGCUGGCAUUAGGUGAAGUGAUUUACUCAUGGAGCUGAAGCCAGUCGCAGAUACCAGCUGGCUGCAACUGUUUAUUAAAAACACAGCACUGUGCAAACACGAAAGUGGACGUAUACGGUGUGACGCCUGCCCGGUGCUGGAAGGUUAAUUGAUGGGGUUAUCCGUAAGGAGAAGCUCUUGAUCGAAGCCCCAGUAAACGGCGGCCGUAACUAUAACGGUCCUAAGGUAGCGAAAUUCCUUGUCGGGUAAGUUCCGACCUGCACGAAUGGCGUAAUGAUGGCCAGGCUGUCUCCACCCGAGACUCAGUGAAAUUGAACUCGCUGUGAAGAUGCAGUGUACCCGCGGCAAGACGGAAAGACCCCGUGAACCUUUACUAUAGCUUGACACUGAACAUUGAGCCUUGAUGUGUAGGAUAGGUGGGAGGCUUUGAAGCGUGGACGCCAGUCUGCGUGGAGCCAACCUUGAAAUACCACCCUUUAAUGUUUGAUGUUCUAACGUUGCCCCAUUAUCUGGGGUGCGGACAGUGUCUGGUGGGUAGUUUGACUGGGGCGGUCUCCUCCCAAAGAGUAACGGAGGAGCACGAAGGUUGGCUAAGCAUGGUCGGACAUCAUGCGGUUAGUGCAAAGGCAUAAGCCAGCUUGACUGCGAGAGUGACGGCUCGAGCAGGUACGAAAGUAGGUCUUAGUGAUCCGGUGGUUCUGAAUGGAAGGGCCAUCGCUCAACGGAUAAAAGGUACUCCGGGGAUAACAGGCUGAUACCGCCCAAGAGUUCAUAUCGACGGCGGUGUUUGGCACCUCGAUGUCGGCUCAUCACAUCCUGGGGCUGAAGUAGGUCCCAAGGGUACGGCUGUUCGCCGUUUAAAGUGGUACGCGAGCUGGGUUUAGAACGUCGUGAGACAGUUCGGUCCCUAUCUGCCGUGGGCGUUGGAAGAUUGAAAGGGGCUGCUCCUAGUACGAGAGGACCGGAGUGGACGCACCACUGGUGUUCGGGUUGUCAUGCCAAUGGCAUUGCCCGGUAGCUAAGUGCAGAAGAGAUAACCGCUGAAAGCAUCUAAGCGGGAAACUUGCCUUGAGAUGAGUCUUCCCUGACUCUUUAAGAGUCCUAAAGGAACGUUUAAGACUAAGACGUUGAUAGGUUGGGUGUGUAAGCGUAGCGAUACGUUGAGCUAACCAAUACUAAUGAACCGUGAGGCUUAACCUG